UGUGUGCUAUACUUCUUUGGGUCCUUGGU
rnacentral:piRNA from 1 species